rnacentral:tRNA from 1 species
AAGAGAGAAGCAAAAAUUGCAAUCAGUUUCGACCUGAUCUUAGAUAACCAGUAAUUAUCCUCGCUUU